rnacentral:rRNA from 1 species
UAAUACGAAGGGUGCAAGCGUUACUCGGAAUUACUGGGCGUAAAGCGUGCGUAGGUGGUGGUUUAAGUCUGUUGUGAAAGCCCUGGGCUCAACCUGGGAAUUGCAGUGGAUACUGGGUCACUAGAGUGUGGUAGAGGGUAGCGGAAUUCCCGGUGUAGCAGUGAAAUGCGUAGAGAUCGGGAGGAACAUCCGUGGCGAAGGCGGCUACCUGGACCAACACUGACACUGAGGCACGAAAGCGUGGGGAGCAAACAGGA